AAUUAAAAAAUCAUAUAUUAAUUCAAAAAUGCAACACCAUGCAUAAUAUUUGUCCCAAGAUACAAAAAAUAUAAUAAUAGAUCGAAACAUAAACACUACAUAUGUCGAACCCCUGCCUUCUCCUCCAAUGAUUGUACUACAUGACAUUUCAUAACUCGAAAAUCAUGUUCUGCACGAGGGCCAAUUGAGGACUAACAGCCUCAAAGAGUCCUUCCUCUAUGCCUACUCUAUCCAUCUCCACAACACGUC
rnacentral:lncRNA from 1 species